UACAGAGGUCCCAAGCGUUGUUCGGAUUCACUGGGCGUAAAGGGUGCGUAGGUGGUGAGGUAAGUCGGAUGUGAAAUCUCCGAGCUCAACUCGGAAACUGCAUUGGAAACUACCUUGCUCGAGGGUUGGAGGGGGGACUGGAAUGCUUGGUGUAGCAGUGAAAUGCGUAGAUAUCAAGCGGAACACCAGUGGCGAAGGCGAGUCCCUGGACAACUCCUGACGCUGAGGCACGAAAGCUAGGGGAGCAAACAGG
rnacentral:rRNA from 1 species